UGCAGGAACAAAAGGAAGGAUGUGCCGAAGAAUUGGGAACAGAAUAAGUUGUUGGCCAUAAAAGAGAAAUUAGAAGGAUGUUCAAAAUUUUGCGCUGAUCAUUUUUUAUUCGUUGAAUAAUCAUUGUGAUUGGCUGAAAUAAAGAAGAACACUCCGCAUGCUCAACAAUCGUUUAUCCUGCUUCGUUACUUGUUUCAUUAUGAUUAUUAAUUAGACCUUUCUAUUUAAUUCAUUAUUAUAAUAAUUAUUAUAAUUAUUAAAUUAAUGGUAUUAAGCUAUUGUAUUAGUCAAUUACAUACGUAAUGCAUAAUAAAUUAUAGUCUGCAUAAUCAAAAUUCCAAUAAAUACAAAUAUCAAUAGUUUAUAACAUAUCUGAUGCUGAAUACAUAGUACAGUAUAGUAAUUGUUAUACAAUAGAGGGGUUUUACCUAAUAAAGGCAAUUACACGCAAUUA